UACGGGGGGGGCAAGCGUUGUUCGGAAUUACUGGGCGUAAAGGGCGCGCAGGCGGUUGGUUAAGUCUCUCGUGAAAGCCCACGGCUCAACCGUGGAAGUUCAUGGGAUACUGUGUAACUUGAGUGCAGGAGAGGAGGGUGGAAUUCCCAGUGUAGCGGUGAAAUGCGUAGAGAUUUGGAGGAACACCAGUGGCGAAGGCGCCUUUCUGGUCUGUAACUGACACUGAGGCGCGAAAGCGUGGGGAGCAAACAGG
rnacentral:rRNA from 1 species